CAAAGCUGUUGGACUCACCUGCUCAGAGCCUGUCAGGUUGGUGGGAGGAGCCAGUCGCUGUGCAGGUACACUGGAGGUGAAACGGGGAGAGUGGAGACCAGUGAAGUACUCUGACUGGAACCUGCGUGACUACAGCUGGACCCUGAAGGAAGCAGCUGUCGUUUGCAGAGAUCUGGACUGUGGCUCUGCUGUUUCAACAGGAAGCACAAAUGAAGCCUCAGACAGAUCUGUAUGGUGGAUCAGAUCUGACUGUGUUCAUUCUGGAUCACCACUGAGGGAAUGUGCAUUAUCAUCAUCAUCUUGCUCUUCCUCCAUCGUGGAGCUCACCUGCUCAGUGAGCCGGCAUAAAGCCGCCUCCGUGUGAGCUUUUCAUAGCGUAGCGGCGUUCUGGAUUCAGAGGCGUGACGGAGAUCAGACUGAUCAGAGCUGUAAACUCUGCCAUAAGCAAGUAAAGAGACGUUACUAGGACGAGGGGAGGACA